rnacentral:lncRNA from 1 species
UUUAUUUCCCAUUUUCUUGGAAGUGAGGAAGUGCAUUAUCUCAUUCCUCCAAUAAUGAAUGGCCUCCUCAAGAUCCUCCCUCAGCUCUACUAUAUCUAUAAUUCUAAAAGUCGUAAUGAACAUAUACUUUAAUAUGCUGUGAUAAUUAAGGUUCUGAAUAAUAUCUUUGCUUUGCAGUGAUACAGCGCAAAGAUGUUCAAACUUUGGUACAUAAGCUGUUUUCAGUGGCUUUCCAGAAGCAACUCCAGCUGUCUAAACCUCUGCACCCAUGCCUGCCUGCUGCCACACAGGUGCUCACCUGGCUCGUACAGCACCAGGACAAAUGCAGCUGUCUCACAGCUUGUCAUCUAUGUGGCUCUCCACAGGGGAUGUCACCAGACAGCAAAGCAUUUAGUCCAAAAAGAGUAUCGUGUGUGACUAUACAAAUUCAACAUACGACCAAGCCAGGGCACCAGAGCAAUAGAAGAAGCCAAAAUGAGCCGGAAAAACAAAAGGAGUUUAAAGGAGAAAUUUGCCUUGAAGAACAGCUUGGUUAAAGAAGCCCUUUCAGAAUUCCUGGGAACUUUUAUACUGAUAGUAAGUGUCAGCUGCUUUCCUUCCUUCUUACUAAUUUAAUGUUGGACAGUGCUCGUAAGGGGACAUGUGUGCUUUUUCCUUGUACUAUACCAGCAGCGUGGUUACUGCCUGACAAACACUGCACAGCCUUGAAUGAAUUGCUGCUGUUUAUGGUAAGUUUGUAAUUCCUUUCUUCACCUGAUGUAAUUAUCACCGGCUGUUAAACACUCAUAGUUUUACGUAUUACAACUGUCUGAUAAACAUUUGAUUUUUAAAGGAGCAGAAUUUGAGUGAACAGCCACGUUCUAAAAAGUUCAGACGCAAUGAAUGUUAGCAAUACUCCUGCAUUCUUUAACUCUGUAUUUUAUUCUACUUUCACUUCUAUGUACAAUUUCCAUUUGCUUUAACAACCCCACUGGACUGCACAUUUAGAAGAUAAUUUUAGCUGUUAUUUUCCUGUGCUCACAGAGACUGAUCCAUGUGACUUGUACUGAGCUUAUCAAGUUGUGCUGCCGAAUCUUUAGAGAUUUUGUAAAUUAACUAUUUUUUGUUUAGUUUUCAAUUGUAUUACAUAAAUUAUACAUUUGCUUGUUAUGUAGUCUGUUACAGUGUUACAUAAAGAGCAAAGCUCCACAUUUUCACAUCCCUAAUUUUUUUUUAAACUUCAUUUCUUGCUCAAGUUUUUGUGCAUUUUGUACUGGGACACAAAGCUGUCUGGUGAUUUACCAGGGUAGAGAGCAGUCUCAGCAACAGAGCUGGAAGUCAAGCAAAUAGAAUACUUAUGCCAAACUCUUUCUCCCUCCCGUUAGUCUGACAAAACAGUUCUGUUUAUUGCUAAAUAUUUCAUCGUAGUGAAAAGACAAAAAAUUAAAAAUAAGGCAUAGGACUCACAUAGUAUGUUUUAUAACUGGAACUGUAUUAGCUAAAUUUCAAGUAAGCCAUCUAAAAAAUUCCAGUAGCUCAUAAAAUACAUGAAAAUAAUGGUCUUUACUACGCUUCAGCCAAUUGAAGGGCAGAGGCACUAAAGUAACAUUAUUCUCAAAUUUAAUACCCUCCAUAAGACAUUACAGUAAGGAGCACAUUUAGAAGCAAGGAGCACAAAGCACUUUACAAACAUAAUGAAUUAAGUGUCACAACACCCUGGUAAGGAAGGGAAAUGUCAUUAUCUUCAUUUUAUAUAUUAGCAAACCUGAUUAGAGCAGACUGCACAGGAAGCCUGUUGCAGAACUCCGAAUAUAACCAAGAUCACCUGACUUCCAGUCCUCUGUCCUCGCUACAAGAUCAUACUCCUCUGUCCAUUAAUACAAUUAAGCAAGUGAGGAAAAUGCAUUAAAGUGCAGAUUAAAUCUCAAAUGCUAUUACUUAAUGUCCUGCUGCAGAAGACUAGAAGGAAAUGGAAACCCAGAAUCCAUUUUGUAUGACAUUCAUCGUAUGAAUACAGUAGAAAGUGAAUCUUCAAAAAUGUUGUUGAUAACUUGGUGAAUUUUUCAAUUCUGUUUUAGUCCUUCUAGUUUUAACCUUAGCUUAAAGCAGAAAAGAGCCUCACAUGGAUUUAACUGCAGCUUUCCAAGUGCUCAGAUACCCCGAUUUAUUUUUAGACUGUGCUAGUUAGCAGAAGUACAAAGUUUAUUGGGAAGAAAUGGACUUUUCUGCUGCUAUUUACUGCUAUUAGACUCUGUCAGCAACUUUAAGAGCAGACAAGUACUAAAUUUUUAUCUGAAAUUAGAGCUAAUGAAAGGGAGCCCUGUUAAGUUAGGAGACAGAAAUCCUUGACAAACACCUAACAUGUAUGCAAAAUAAGCAACAGCUUUCUUUCUCUAUACUAUUACUAUGCUUUAAUCCUGUUUCAAAGUGAAAGCAAGAUGACUGCUCAUAGUCACAGGUGGUUUGGCUCUUCCCUGAAAGCCAUUCUGUGCCUCUGCCCUGUAUCUUACAGCUAGUGGGAAGCAUCUGCACCAGGGUUCAGGGCAGUGAGGAGCUCUUCCAUUACCCAUAGGUUUUGUCUAGAAGUGUUAACUGAUGGUACCCAAACCUAUGAACAUCCCAGCACCUCUGGAAGUCAGCUGGGUGAAAUUCUAUCCCCCAGACUACCUGUUUCUCUUUCUUCUAGAGAACAUCACAGAUCAUGUACUAUUAAGAGCUUAAGUUGCCAUCUUGGGUAACUCUCCACUCUUGCAAUAUUGUUUUCCAAAUUGUAUAAUGUAAAAUCUGUAGGAUU